GCCAUCUCUUUUUAAUUUUUUUUCCCAAGUUGCAACGAAUUUUCUAUCUUUUUUUUUUUUAAGUCAAUUAGAGGACCAUGCGUAAACUCAACGGAGGUUAAGGAUGGUCAGUAGAUUUCAAUGACAGAUCAGGAAAUGUGAAUUUUGAGAACGGGCAAAAUUCCCUCCUUCAGCAAGAUCAGACACAGCCAGCGUCCGCCUCACUCCCAGACCCUUGUGGACAGAGCUCAUCCCAGAGCACUAAGGGCGAGAAGUCCGGCUGUGUUUCGCUGGAUUCCCGAAGAGCAGCUCUCUGCUCAGGAUGGACGGUCUCAAGGCUGAUACCUCACCGAUUGCUACCCGAGCCCCCCUGACAGGACAUGUGUGGUCCCAAACCGAGGGCAAGAAAUCGUACCUGUGAGAAGCCUUCAGGCAGAACAGGGAGAGGUGUGGAAGAAUCUGUUUCUGUCAGAGACGAGGAUGCUCAACUACAUGUCUUUGUUCCAUCUAUUCACUGAAUCAUUGGAGUUGUAACUAUAUGCACUUGGAAGAACCUGUGGCUGAAGUACUUCACAUUUAGAGUUUCACACAAGCACUGAAGAAACCAUUGCUAAAAUCAUGCCUUUGUAUAUGAAAUGCAUUUGGAAAAUACAGUAUGAAAGUAUGGUGAUAUUAUUUACUUUUAUAACAAUAAAAAAAUAUGAACACAAACAGACCAGACCAACAAUAAAAUGACCUUUUCACCCAAGUUCUGCAUGUGUAGCUUCAUUAUUUCUGCUAUGUACAGUAUUCAAAAAC
rnacentral:lncRNA from 1 species